CAAUGCUCAAACCACUGAGCUAUCCCUCCCUCCUGUUGGCAAGUGAAUCGCCAAUGAAACAAGCAGGAAAGCCAUGCUUGCCAAUGUUUCUAAAGGGAAAGAUCUCCAAAAAUAAUCUUUGUUGUAGAUUAAAUCCUGCAAAUUGUAACUCCCUUUCUGGGUUAUUUAUUUAUCAAACUGAAAGUAUAACUGACCAAAUGGAGAUCCAGAUAUUUUAAAGAAUGUUAUUGAGAAAAGAAGCCACAGAAGUUAUUCCAUUACCUAACCCUGCAGCCUCUGGCAAAAGAUGCUCUGGAUUAGAAAGGGCAACUGCACCUGUAUUUCCCCCACAUGGUCCAGCAAGGGCUCCCAUUCGAGGCUCCCAGCUCCUCAGCCGUCACAUCUCCUGGAUACACACCUGUGUCCCAUUUCCUUCUGUGUAUUUCCAGGUUGCAUAAUUCCCUGCCUACACUGUGAAUUCACCAGCAGCUCAGACCACCUCUGCAGAUCUGCGUUGCCUUCCCCUCAGAGGCUAUAACCAGCGUCAGUGCCUACAGGUGCCAGGUGAUUGCUGCGAUACUGAUGAGUAGAAGGAUCAAGGCUGCAGGCCGCGAGGUGGAAGAGGAGCUGGUGGUGACUCGGAG